GAGGAAAAGAAAGAAAGAGGAGGGAGAGGGAAGAACACCGGGGACCGUUGCAUUGCCGGUCAAGGUAAAUGGCGGCGACGAGUAUUUGAAAGAGGCGGCUAAGGUUAAAAGUAGAGAAAAGAAAUAAAAAGAAAAGAAAAAGAAAGGACAAGAAAAAAAAGAAAGAAAAGAAAGGAAAAAUAAUAAUAAUAUAAAAGAAUAGUCGGGUUUAACCCAACCCGACUCGUACUACCGAACCCAACCCGACCCGACCCGUUGCCAACUGACCCAACAGCAGCAGUCCAGCAAGCCAGCAGCAAG
rnacentral:lncRNA from 1 species